rnacentral:tRNA from 1 species
GGUAGCUCAGUGGUAGAGUGCUUGCCUUGCAUGCAUGAGGCCUUGGGUUUGAUUCCUCAGCACCA